GGUGGGAUGGCCGAGCGGUUAAGGCGCUAGUUUCAGGUACUAGUCCGAAAGGGCGUGGGUUCGAAUCCCACUUCCAUCA
rnacentral:tRNA from 1 species